rnacentral:lncRNA from 1 species
AUGCGCCACCACCAGCAACGCAACCAACGCGAACUAAGUAUCCCUUCUAUCUCUAAUAGUUUUAUGACAUGAUUCUGAACCGGAAGUUAAGAACCAGAGAGCAGUGCUUGUAGAAGAAAAUGAAGGGCCACGACAUGAGAGGUCUUUUUCGGUAAUCUUUACUGAAAUCUAUUUGAAUAUUUAAGAUUCCAUGUAUGAAGAAAGUUAAAUUCUAUAACUGAUGGAAUAGGAUUUAUAAUCAUUUUAAUUACUAAAGUUGGUUUUGGAUGGAACUAAUUCCAUUUCUGAAUUUCUAAUUCUAGUUGCAGGGAAUUGGAGUGAUAUGCCAUUCAUUAAGAUGCCCUAUUUUUUUGAGGUACAUUAGCUUAUAUAGUUUUGAAAUUAUCCAAAAUUAGUGAUCUUUAGUUAUUUAAUUCUCAUUGAUAUUCAUAUUGAAUAUACGAAAAUACUGAGUUGUGCUAUCAUGGAGAUGGUAAUCUCUAGAAUAUUAAUUUCAUGAUUAUAUAACAGGUUAGCAUAUCACCUUAGGGUAGGGAUGGUAUUAAUGGGAUAUUUUUACACCUUAGGGUAGGGAUGGUAUCGGUUACUGUAUCGUACCCCUUAGUACCAAAACUGAAUAUGUAUAAAUCUUAACACCGAAUACCAUAUCCUAUAAGCACAUUCUGGAAUGGUAUGGUACCGGUAUUGGUAAUAGUAUUUUGGUAUUGUCCAUGUUAGGACCGCAUCUAGAUUUUACUAAGGACAUUCAACAAAUGAAACAAAAAGUCAAACAUAUUCAAGUUGGUGUGUCAUUUUUCUAGAUCUUGCUGAUGGUUAUUACCCAGGAUUCUGUGGAACAACUAGCGGAGAAGAUUGGAGACUGAAAGCUUAACAGGUACAGAGUAAAAAAGUUUCUUCGUGUUAUUAUCUUAUGUUGUAUUCUUCAAGCGCUUGUGAACAAGAAAGCAAAUGACCUUAUAAAUGGGAUUAUGCACACAAGAGAGAUUACGGAUAAUGAUAUAUAGAUUUUGUUGAAGACGUUGAUGUUGAUUUUUUUUUCAAGAGUUAGGUAUUCCAUUAGAGUAGCUUUAUUAAUAAAUUUUGGAAUUGUAUGUAGUUUAUUUAUGAAAUUUAAUAUAGUUUGUUAUACAUUUAGCAAAGAAUUGUAAUUUGACCGGUUAUUCCAAAUUGAAUGUGUUUGGAAUUGACAAAAGACGAGGUUCAUUUGUUUAAGACAGGGUCUAGUUUGAACCACGUCUAA